UAAAGGGCGGCAGCUGCAGCAAUGCAGUCGGUCGAAAGGCGAUGCUCCCAAUUUACCGGUCAGACUACGUUCCCACCCUCACCUGUGGCCAUAGGCUUAGAGCCGUGACCGGAAGAACAAGAUAACAGAUACCAGUGGCCAAAUGACUGUAGAAACAACAAAAAUAUUCAAAUAUUCAUGUCCUGUUUGAUUAGUUUGUAUUUUUUAAUUAAUAUGUUCAGCCACAAUUUAAAAGCAAAGUCUGAUUUUCAUUGGUUAAUUUUUGGUCAUUUUAAUUGAUUACUACUUUUGUCAGUUCUGAGUUAUUUGCAUGGCCAUUGUGGGAAUCAACUGUGUUUUCAGUGGGGUAGAAAGAUCUUACACUUCUGUUUUCAUGCAUGUAACAGCUAAAUUCUUUUACUGCAUGCAGAUAAACUGGAAAUGCAAUUGGGCUUUUCUGAGAAGCCCAAAGUGGCAACCAUUUAUUAACCGAGACUGUUACAAAACACUAGAGUAUGGUGCAGCCUCAUCAAAUGCUGCCAAUACGUAAACGUUUUUACUUUACUCAAACAACUUAAAGCUGAAAAUGAAAGAAAAGAAAAAGAGGAUAUUUCACUCUUCAGCAAUUCACCAAGAAUUUCAUAAAUGGAUACAAUGGAUAAAUAAACUUUCAUUGAAAAGCAUCAAAUUAUAAUAUAAUUUUAUAUAAUCCAUCAGAGAUGAGUUUGCAUUCAUAGUAAUAGCUUAACUGUUCAAAAAAAUCAGACAUUUAACAGGAUUGUUCAUCUUAUCCAUAUAGUCAUAACUGAAUAGCAACUGCCAUCUGUUAUCAUAGACAAGAGUGAUGUGUGUUCUCUUGCCUGUCAAGGAAAGGUAUGUGUACUGUUACAUAAUACAGUAAGUACAGUACAGUAACAAAUUCAUGAAUUUCCAUUAAAAACUCAGUUCUUUAAACUGUAGCACACACGUUUACACUUAACUCACAAUAAAUAUUCGACUUAUAUGUAUUUAAGACAAACUUUGGUUGAAAUUAGAAAUUACUGCGUAACAUCAGAAUUCAUGUCAUCAAUAGAACUGCUAGUCAAAUUUAAAACUUGUCAUAAGUCAUGAGUAAAUGCAAAUGUAAAAGUCUUCAACACUGACUUGUACAGUAAAAGGCCUAAGAUGAAUUGGCACUAUACAAAUGGAACUGAGUUGAAUUGAAGAUGUUAUAGUUUUACUUUUUUAGACCACUGGGGUCUUUUAUGGUUCUGCUUUAUUACAGAUGUCAGAUUAUGUAAUAAUAAUAUUUUAAUAACGUUAACGCGUAGGUUGAGAUACAGUGCUCCUCCUACAAACGCUCCAAUACAUUGACCCUUCCCUCCCUCUAUACUGUAUGUAUAAAUAGGUACACAAACGCAGCAGGUUUCAAAUCUUAACCUAGGAUCCUUUUAGAGACAUCAGAGGACGCCAACCUGAAAACCACGCCUGCACCAAGAAGAACAAACAUCUGCUCAUCCAACUGCUUCAACUGAAUCUCACCCAUCGUUUCAACUGGAGACAAACAAAUCUAGAGGUUUGCUCAAAUAAAUGAAUCCAUACUGUAUGUAAAAAUGUUUUAUUUAUUACUCACCUUUCUGUAGAUCUCAAAAACUGUUUAUGCGAUACUGAUCUUUUGGACUAGGUCUAUACAAAAGAUUGCUAUCAAGACCCUGCAUACAUAAAUAACGUCAUUCAAAAAUGUCGUGUCACCCGGGGUUUUAAUCUUUAAGCAAACUGCUUGAUUAGAUGACAGCCACAGUUCUGAUGUAUGUGUUCCACAUAGCUCAAAAGAGAUGUGGGGUUGAGAGGAAGAAGUUCAUUGUGUAGUUAGGUUAUUGAUAAUGGUUUUGGUUAUUUACAUUUAAAUAUUGCAGCCUCUGCUGCUAAACAUCUAACUGCAGGUGCAGUGUUCUGUUAUGUUUUCUACCUGAGUAAGUCUUUCUGCCUGAUCUAGGCAUGUACACCAGGUUGAUCAUCGCUGUGCUGGUUGUGGCAGCAGUAGCAGUAAACACUGCAACUGCACAGUCCAUACGCUUGACGGCACAAUCAAACGGCACGGCAAACUCAAACACUACAUCUAACACUACUUCUACAACGCAAGGUCCUACAACACAACCCUUAAACCCAGUGGGGGGGGUGAGUGAUAUGCAUCUAUAUGAGAUAGAAUAAACAGCUGAAUUGGUCACUAUAAUGAAGUUAAAUUUCAAUAAAAUCCACAUUAUCUAAUCACUUUUCUUUUGUUCCAUGUCCCUUGCAGACAAGUAUCUCAAGAGCCGGUUGUGGGACCCAACAGCUCUGUUUGACUCAACCCGCUUCAUGUGACCCAUCCAGUGCAUCAUCAUGUUACUUUAUUUCCUCCCAGCAGCUGAGUGGUCAAAUCUAUCAGCUUGGGCUGUCAGGAAGCUCACCAGGCUACAUCGCUGUCGCUUUGUCAACUGGCACCUCAGUUGUAUGUCAAGUUCUAUUACUUAGCCAAAUAAGUCUGACAUCAAAGCCAUCGAGGUAAACAAUAAAAUGUUUCUGGUUAUUUGCAGGGAAACAAUGACACAACCUACAUUUGUGCAAACAACAACAACAUGGUUCAGUUCUUCGUCGGUUACCUCACUGGCAGUACACUGACAACAACACCUGUGGGCCUUUUUUCUCUUAAAUAUAUAUAAAACACAAAAGUAAGAACUUACCUUUACUGUAACUGUCUAAAUGUGUUCGUUCUGCAGUUGAGUGUAAGCUCUGUGAAUGGCAGUGUCAAUGGAAACAAAAUCCAGUGCAUAUUCAAUGCCACAUUACCAUCUGGAAUCACCAAAGCACUAAACUUUCAAGUGGGAUUCCUCACUGGAAGCUACACUAAUGGUACACUGGGCAAUGCCACCAUCAUAUUCCAACAAUCUGCAGAUCUGUCCAAUCCAGCCAGCCACGCCAUCACAUUCAAGCAAUCACUGACCCAAGCUGUGCUGAUUGUUGUGAUUGCACUGGGUCUGACCAUGUAAUGAGGAAGUCAAGAAAAGGAAUUCAUCACACACCAUAAACAGUUACAGUUUGCCUGUACUUGGAGAUUGAGUGAAACUGUUCUCAGCUUUUAGAGGAUCUGGGUCUAACAAAGUAGAUUUAAAUUAAAUGCUAAUGUAUACUCAGUUCGUUCAGUGACGUAAACCAAUCACUAAAUGGCAAAAAUGUGAUUAAACUGGGAAACAAUAUAACAACCGUGACCACUGGGUGUAAAACAUCAGACCUGGCUAUGCAUUACUAAAAAGUGACACAUACAUUUUCUCCCUUCAUUCACUCACAAAGAUGCCAGCAAUUGGCAGAUGUGUUUUUUAUUCUCUUCAGUGUAAGUAAACAUAUUAUUAUAAAUAUAACUACUUGUACAUAAUAUACCAUUUAAUAUUGAUCAUUCAAUUACACACAAUUGUGAAGUCUUGAUUGGCUGAUAUUUUAGUGUGUAAUUAUGUGUGUGAAAGAAUUUUCCAUUUAUAGGAUAUCGGUGAAGAUGAUUUUUGUGAAUUCCACUAUGUAAUUUAAAUUUUUAAAAAUAAAUAUUUGAAUCAAAAUAUUUUUUAUUAUAUAAAUUGUCUGAAAUUGUUGACAGAACAAUUACACCCUCACUCUGCACAUCAAUUACACUGUAUCAAUAUACAUUUCAAGACAUUUAAGUCCAGAAUCAUAACAGAAAAGUGCUAUCAGCAGGGUUUUUCCCUUCUGUCUUUUCAGGCCUUAUCUCAGUUACAAUUGUCACACUGCAGAACACAGUCGAAUUAAAAUUUGUUUACUGGAAAUAACACAGGUUCUCAAAAGAUAAGAUAAAAGAUAACAAGACAAGGUACAAAGGCAUAAUUUUUCACAAUUUUUUUACUUAGGAGUCCUUCCAACCUGAAAGGGUUAGAGCUCAUCACUAAAGAUGAAUACUAUAGGCAAAAAACACCAGUGAAGACGGCUUUUCUAUUGAUUAUUGAGAAGAUAUGAAUAAUGUAGAAAAUGUUGUUUUAUAUCAGCAUCAUACUGUAGAUUAAUUCUCAGCACUUUCAGAAUAUUCCAUCAAUUGGAAAAAAUCUAUAAUGUUACCACUUACUGUAACCUUAAGGUGAAAAACAUUCCUUCUGGUAGAAGUUGUUUUCGUUGUUGUUGACUCAGAUCAAGGAACAUCAGAUACUUAGGCAAAGAAUUAUCACCUAGUCUGUCAGAGCUUAUUGAACUAAACUAUAAUCCAUAAUUUAAACGAAUAGAAGCCAAGCUCAAAACAUGGCAGGUCUUACCUAUUUCACUUAUGGGAAGAAUUGCCACCAUGAAAAUGAUUAUCCUGCCUAGACUGAACCACAAGAUCUCAAUGAUUCCAACUUAGCCAGGGAGGUGUGGUUUAUGGCUUUGGACUCAUCCAUCUCAAACCUUUUAUGGAGAAAUAAGAUGCCACGAAUCAGCUUAAAACGCCCCAAAAAUCCAAACACUGCAGUGGCCUGGUACGACCUAACUUCUUUGACUAUUUUCUCUCGAACAGACUGAGUCCACAAAUUGAUAUAAAACCCAGUCCAACAGACUAGACAAUGCACAAACAUUUUUUUGUGGAAACAUUACAGUUGCAGGGGCCGGCACGUGGUGCAGUGGGUAGCACCAAAUACAUGCAUUAGUUUCAUUGGUCACUCUGGAUUGGGUCUGCCUGUAGGUGUGAGAGUCCAGCACCCCUGCGACUAGAGGAUGGAUGGAUGGAUGAAUUACAGUUACUAUUUAUCAGCACAAAAAUCAAACACCAUAGUUGCUACCAGCGUAUUAGCAUAGCAACAUCUCUCUCAAAGCCUGGUAGGAUUUUCUUAAAAUUACUGACCAGUGGAUAGGGCCCUCUCUUUGAUGUUUCUGUCUACUGGACCCCUCAGGCAUCUGGUGGACUUCCAAACAUCCUAAUGCCUAAGCUUAUACAUGUACAUUGGGACCUGGGGGGUGGGUUCUUUCACUGGGACCUGGAGGUAAGGCUAGCUGUGACCUAACCCAUGAGCCCUGGUAGAGAGGAUUACCUCCCAGUUUUAACUAUACAGUAUCUGGGACAUCUAAGGUUGGGGGACACUGUCCAGAAGGAACUCUAUCAGCCAGCAGUUGUGCCCCUGGAAUUCUCCCUCACCUUUAGUGCACUCCAGCUCCACACACUCACAUUCAAGCUGGGCUGCAUGGCCAUGGGGUGCCUAUCCUGUUAUCCUCUGAUUCACCCUGGUUGGGGAGGGGGGCUCUAGGCUCUUGGCCUGGCUACCUCAUCUUCUGACAUAUACCAGAGAAAAAUUGACACUACAAGUGUUCCUGAGAGGGCUCACCCCAGAGUGGCGACACAAACAUGAAUAGGAUUCCUAGCAGCACCGAGUUCACAGGGCGAUUCGCUUCAGGAAGCAGAACAAGCUGAAGAGGUGCUGGAGGCUAAGGCACUGCAAAAUCAAUCUCCACCUUGGGGGACAAUGGUUUGGAGGGUAAAUUGUGAUGGGUGAUGGGUAAAUCGCACAUUUAUUCUGCCUAGAGGAUAUUACGAAUGAAUGUAUUGUUGGCUUUACUGACAAAUGCCAGUAUGAAUGAGAGACGGGGCCAAUGGUGGCAGCGGUUCGGCAGAGUGAUGUUAACAGAGAAAGAGAGUCCGUUUUUAGAGAAAAAUUGCAGAGGCAGUAGGAGGCAGACCUGGUGCUGGCAGAGGUUAAAGGGUGAAUGACAGAAUUGUCCAGCCGUGAUGGCUAAAGGUUAAUGCACAUUAGGGCAGCCUGGAGCUCUAUAAUGGCCUUCUUUACCUGUAAUGGCAGUUAUCUAUGGGGGAUUGAUUGGUUACAACUUCUUGGCCCUCAUUCUCUGUGUUCAAAGAUGCAUCGGUGGGUCUAUGGAGCACGCAGGGCCAGUCUGUUAGGAUUGUGUUCGUGGAAAACUUCGGUACCCAAGUCGGAACCGAGAUCUUAAAUAAGAACAGUUAUUUAAUAAAUAAAAGCAGAAUGGUCUAACUAAUCAGGAAACCAAAAAACACUCCUGCAAAAUGAACA